rnacentral:rRNA from 1 species
ACGCUCGACACCUACGGGAGGUAGCAGUGAGGGAUAUUGGUCAAUGGGGGAAACCCUGAACCAGCAACGCCGCGUGAGGGAUGACGGUCUUCGGAUUGUAAACCUCUGUCCUCUGUGAAGAUAAUGACGGUAGCAGAGGAGGAAGCUCCGGCUAACUACGUGUCAGCAGCCGCGGUAAUCUGAGCGGGCUGGCAAGGC